UUGCAAAUGGGAAUUCUGGGGCUUGGGCAGGGGUGGGGCCAGGAGAACCACUAUUAUGUGGAUCCUACAGUCCCUGCCUCCCCACACUGAGGCCAAGGAGCCCAAUGUAGCCCAUAGGUUCAAGUAGGUUCCAUGGAGCUCUCCUCUUGCUUCCAAAUGGCUCGAUGGCAGAAUUCUUCUCCCACUUAAUUCUAGUGCUCAGCUCAGGAGGGAUUUGUGUACUGUGUACACCAUUUAGACACACAAAUCCUGGUGUUUGAAAUUCCCUCCCGCUCUGUAUCAAACAGAGGAGUGCUGGUAAGAGACUGCUUUUCAUUUCCUGGCUCCACCUACCAAAUGCAGGACAGGGUUGCAAAAAGUUAAUAGUGAUGGCGAGUGUCAGUGUCUAUCUAUCCCAUUGGCUACUGUUAUAUCCUCCAAUCAAAACUGAACAAGCAUAAACUAGUAGAACCAGAUAAUGAAACAUCCUCCAGUGGCUGUUUUGUGUGGAGCAAGGCAGGAGCCGAAGUCAUUCCCUCAAUAAGUGGUUUAGGUACCUAAGCUGUAUGAGUCCAGGUGAAAGGUUUCCAUUAGUGGAUCACUAAGGUGACACAGGCAUAUGCCUAUAGUCUGGAUUUAGGCACCUAUCUCAGAGAGAGGAGUGGAGUUUAGCACUUACCCCUGUUGUCAGCAUCUCCCAUUGGCUAGCUUAGCCAGGGAGCUGCCUAGCUUUUGUGGAUCCCAUUCUAAGGCACCUGUCUCUUCCCAGUCAUUGUAUAGGGAGAUUAUGUGCCUAACUCAGGCUUUGUGGAUUGCAGGAUUGUUCGAGAGAUUUUCUAGGUGCUUAAAAGGUAGGUGCCAUGAUACUGAGCCUUGCAACACCUAAGUGCCUUUGUGGCUCCUGUGCCUAAAUACCUUGGGAAGCCUGGAAACCUCAGAAACUGCAUAUUCACUAUAUACCUUCUUGUGGGGAGGAUCUUACCCCUGUCAUGUGACUGGCCAACUUAUUGGGCUGGUGAAUAAAGACAAAGAGAGUCCUGGCUCCACCUACUUACCAACCAUCACUAUUUGUACAGUCUUGUGUUCCUAAGGGAAGCGGGAGGAGGAAGCAGCCUCUGAGUGGCACCAAUUCUGCCUGAUUAUAUGCAUGCUUGGCAAAGGGUAGGAAGGCUCCUUCUUUCUUUCACCGCUAUGCACCCAAGUAAUGGCUCUGCAGAAUGUGACCCAAUAGGAGCAGCCAAACAUUCACAAGCAGGUCAAAAGCAACAAACAAGGGUGCCCCUGGCACAGAUUGAACUUCUCAGAAGAGGUAACUAUUAUCAGUGAGGGUGAGGAAAAAGAAUUUUAAAAAUCCUCCAAAAUAUUCCUAAAACAAACCUGAAAGGAAGAUGAUGCAUUAAAAAUAAAACAAAAUCAUUCAUAGAACAAUGUAUGAUAUAUGGUACCUAGAGUUAUUUUAAUCUAUUACAAUUAUUGCACACUAACUUUUAUAAUACCUUAUUUUCUUUCUUCCGUGGUGUAUUGGAGAGGAAGUUGAGAUGUAGACCAGAUGAUCAUGCUAUGGCCUAAAAUUGAGUAUAGUGUUUGUUCAUGGCAGCAACAGUGGACAGUGGAAGAAAAACAUGAAAGGGAUACAAAUCAUGUUAACACAUGAGUCAUCAGUAAAAGCAACCUCCACAUAUUAAAGAUCAUCAAUGAAAAUGUUGACUAUUGUCAGGCAGAGUGCUGAACCCGUCCAGGAACACCUCCAUUCAAUGAUGAGUCCCCAUGCACAACGACUCUUUGAAAUCUGUCAGUUAGGCAGUUCUUAAUUCAUUUAAUGUGUGCUUUAUUGAUACAGUACAGUGUUAAUUUUUAAUUAGAAUGCUCUACAGUACUCAUCAAAUGCCUUAAAAAAGUCUAAGUAUGUUACUUCUGCACUGUUACCUUUAUCAACCAAACUUGUAAUCUCUUCAAAGAAUGAAAUCAGGUUUGUAUUAGAAGACAUAUCUUCCAUAAAACUAUGUUGAAUGUCUCUUAAUUCUUUAUCAACUGAAUCCUGUAUCAAUUUUUGCAUUAUUUCACCUGGAAUUGGGGUCAGGCUAACCAACUUAAAGUUACCCAGGUCAUCCCACUUGCUCUUUUUAAAUAUUGACACAAAACUAGCACUUUUCUAUUCUUCUGGAAUUUUCCAAGUAUUCAAAAAUGUAUUAAAUAUUGAUAUCAGUGGGCCAGAGAUCUCCUCAGCCAGCUCUUUUAGGACUCUUGGAUUGAAGUUAUCCAGGCCUGCUGAGUUGAAAAUGUUUAUCUCUAGUAGAUGUCACUCUACUCACAUCUUCCUUAGUUACUAAUGAACUAUAAAGUACUUCAGCAUUCUCAUGUGAUAUGCUAUUUUAUACCAUGCUCAUCACUGUAGCAUCUGAGCAC